GGAAUUUUGGACAAUGGGCGAAAGCCUGAUCCAGCAAUGCCGCGUGAGUGAAGAAGGCCUUCGGGUUGUAACCUCUUUCAGUAGGGAACAAGGCCAGCAUUUUUGUUGGUUGAGGGUACUUGCAGAAGAAGCGCCGGCUAACUACGUGCCAGCAGCCGCGGUAACACGUAGGGUGCAAGCGUUAAUCGGAAUUACUGGGCGUAAAGCGUGCGCAGGCGGUUUUGUAAGUCUGAUGUGAAAUCCCCGGGCUCAACCUGGGAAUUGCAUUGGAGACUGCAAGGCUAGAAUCUGGCAGAGGGGGGUAGAAUUCCACGUGUAGCAGUGAAAUGCGUAGAUAUGUGGAGGAACACCGAUGGCGAAGGCAGCCCCCUGGGUCAAGAUUGACGCUCAUGCACGAAAGCGUGGGGAGCAAACAGGAUUAGAUACCCUAG
rnacentral:rRNA from 1 species